rnacentral:rRNA from 1 species
GAUCUUGGCUCAGGACGAACGCUGGCGGCGUGCCUAACACAUGCAAGUCGAACGGAGUCGGCCCCGCAAGGGACUGACUUAGUGGCGAACGGGUGAGUAACGCGUGAGCAACCUGCCUUUCAGUGGGGGACAACAGUUGGAAACGACUGCUAAUACCGCAUAAUGCAUUUUGACCGCAUGAUCGAGAUGCCAAAGAUUUAUUGCUGAAAGAUGGGCUCGCGUCUGAUUAGA